rnacentral:rRNA from 1 species
UACGUAGGGUGCAAGCGUUGUCCGGAAUUAUUGGGCGUAAAGAGCUCGUAGGCGGUUUGUCGCGUCUGCUGUGAAAACUGGAGGCUCAACCUCCAGCCUGCAGUGGGUACGGGCAGACUAGAGUGCGGUAGGGGAGAUUGGAAUUCCUGGUGUAGCGGUGGAAUGCGCAGAUAUCAGGAGGAACACCAAUGGCGAAGGCGGCUCACUGGCCCGUAACUGACGCUCAGGCGCGAUAGCGUGGGGAUCAAACAGG